GAUGAACGCUGGCGGCGUGCCUAAUACAUGCAAGUCGAGCGAACGGACGAGAAGCUUGCUUCUCUGAUGUUAGCGGCGGACGGGUGAGUAACACGUGGAUAACCUACCUAUAAGACUGGGAUAACUUCGGGAAACCGGAGCUAAUACCGGAUGAUAUUUUGAACCGCAUGGUUCAAAAGUUAAAGACGGUCUUGGUGUCACUUAUAGAUGGAUCCGCGCUGCAUUAGAUAGUUGGUAAGGUAACGGUUUACCAAGGCAACGAUGCAUAGCCGACCUGAUAGGGUGGUCGCCGGCACUGGAGCUGAGCCGCGGUCCUGACUCCUACGGGAGGCAGCAGUAGGGAAUCUUCCGCAAUGGGCGAAAGCCUGACGGAGCAGCGCCGCGUGAGUGAUGAAGGUCUUCGGAUCGUAAAACUCUGUUAUUAGGGAAGAACAUAUGUGUAAGUAACUGUGCACAUCUUGACGGUACCUGAUCAGAAAGCCACGGCUAACUACGUG
rnacentral:rRNA from 1 species